rnacentral:tRNA from 1 species
AGCUCAGUCGGUUAGAGCACCGUCUUGAUAAGGCGGGGGUCGUUGGUUCGAAUCCA